ACCCCUGAUCCACUCCCACCCCUGUCCUCUGCCCCCUAGAUCUCCUUGCCGCCGCCACCUCCGCCUCUCACCCCUCCUCCGCCUUUCUCUCCCCCAUUCGCGUCGCCUCUCCUUCUCCUCCCCCUCCACCUCCCCGUGUCUCGAGAAACCCUCCCAUGGCGGAGUCGCCCGAGAACUCCACUGCGGUGCCCGCUCCACCCGCCGCUCCUUCUCUAGCCCCUCCCGCCCAUCCGCCCGCCCCCCUAGGUUCCACCAUGGCGCCACUCGUCUUGGCUCAUGUCCUGCUAGCGCGGCCUGGCCGGCAUCGUCGGAGGGAACAAGGCUAAGGUCUCGGCCGAGGUCGCCCCGGAUCCGGAGGACGCCACCGAGCACGGGCGUCGGGGGGAGGCCGAUGAGGAGACGCGGCGGUAAGAUUGUCAAGCACGACCUCUAGUCCAAGGAGCUCCCCAACACCGCAUCGAGCCUGACUGCCGGUGGUUAGGAAAUACACGAGUUAUCAAUCAGAAAAAACUUGAAUAUUUUAGGCAAGAACUCCAGGCAAGGCUUACAAAUAACUACAGUAUGUUAAUGAAAUCUAAACAGCUGCCACUAUCGCUUCUACAGGAUCAUCAGAAGGUUCGCUCAUGUUGAUUAUACAGCAAGCUCGUGCACAUCUUCUUGACACUGAACCUUUUGAGCAUGCCGCCGCCGUCUCCGUCAUGCGCCCUCCACUCGAGUGCGGCAGAAUCACCUUCU